UCCCUGGUGGCUCAGAGGGUAAAGCAUCUGCCUACAAUGCAGGAGACCCAGGUUUGAUCCCUAGGUUGGGAA
rnacentral:tRNA from 1 species